rnacentral:piRNA from 1 species
UUAUAGAGGUAAAAUGACAGCACAGUGUGAC